UCAUACCCCAAGCUCUGAGAUCAUGGAGGCUCCAUCUGCUUGGGCAUUGACUUGGCAGGCCCUGAAUCCUCCAGCUACAAAACCUUCUGUGCUUAGAACUCCCUGGAUUCAGCUCAUUAAAUACAGGCAGGCAGGAAGCAGCAAAUCUCACUUGGACUGUGUCAACCAUGCAGGGCUCCACUUGGCGAGGCACUUGGCUAGUUAGGGAAUAAUAUUCUAUGCAGAUAUCCUGUGCAAAGGAGGUUUGGAGCAUCUUUCAGCUUCACAGAGCAGUUGGGAGAGAGGAUUCCUGUGAACAACUAACUUCAUUUCCAAGAAAACACUUCUUAGCGGGGAUAAAGCAUCACAGGAUUUUUUUCA
rnacentral:lncRNA from 1 species